rnacentral:rRNA from 1 species
AUGGAUGCCAAUGACAAGUACUUGAUUGUCAUUGAUGACAUAUGGGAUAAAACAACAUGGGAACUAGUCAAGACCGCUUUGUUGUGUAACAAUUGCGGAAGCAGGAUAAUCACAACUACUCGUAUACUCGAAGUUGCCACAAUGGCCAGUGAAGUAUACAGGCUACAACCACUUUCUCUUGAUUUAUCCAAGGAUUUAUUUCAUAGAAGAUUAUCUUGUGCUGCAAUAGAAUGGCCUAAUCAUAUUCCAACAAAGGUAUAUGAUAAAAUUUUGCAUAAAUGUGGUGGUGUACCAUUGGCUAUAAUCACAAUAGCUAGUUUGCUUGCUGGUAAAGCUGUGGAGUUUUGGUCUAAGGUAUACACUUCAAUUGGUUUUGGGCAUGAAGAAAAUGAAGACGUGGAGAACACGAGGAAAAUACUUUUAUUUAGCUAUUAUGAUCUACCUUGUCACCUCAAGACUUGCUUAUUGUAUCUGAGCAUCUAUCCUGAAGACCAUCUGAUUGAAAAAGAUAGUUUGAUAUGGAAGUGGGUUGGCGAAGGUUUUAUCCAUGAGGAACCAGGGGUAGGACUAUUCGAGAUUGGUGAGAGGUACUUCAAUGAACUGGUGAACAAAAGCAUGAUAAUGCAUGUAGAGGAAGAUGAGUAUAAUGGCAUCAUAACUGGGUGUCGUGUCCACGACAUAAUGCUUGAUAUAAUAUGUUUAUUGUCAAAGGAAGAAAAGUUUGUUACUGUAUUGGAUAGUAACGAGCAAUAUGCAACUUCACAUUGCAAUGCUCGUAGGCUAGCUGUUCAAGAUAUAGUCCAACCUCUGUCUAGCACGUCAACAUUACAAGCAAGGUCGCUUAUUGCCAUGUGCGGUGCUGAGAUGUUGCCAUCACUUUCAUGCUUUGAUGUUUUGCGCGUCCUAGCUUUGGAAAGCCCCUGGUAUUCGCACAGCCCUAAUCAUCUUGAGCAUGUUGGAAAGUUAGUUCACUUGAGGCACCUCAAACUAGGGAGUAUUGGUAUCAGUGAGCUCCCAAAGGAAAUAGGACAUCUGAAGUUCUUACUGGUAUUGGACUUGGGUGAAAAUAGCAUAAGUGAACUUCCAGAGAGUAUUGGUGGAGUAAGUCAACUCAAGUGCUUGAACAUUUGUGAAACAGGCAUUGUAGUGCCAUGCUGGAUCGGGAAUUUGACUUCUCUGGAAGAGCUAUGCCUAAGAGGAGUUGAUGUGGACUCCAACUUUGUGACAGAGCUAGGCAAGUUGACAGAGUUGAGGAAGCUCCGCAUUUCUGAAACUGUAUAUUUAUGUGGUGAUGAUAGCAGAAGGAAUAGCUGGGCUGAGUCUGUAGCCAAACUCUGCAAGAUCCAAGUCAUAGACAUUCGUCUAGUUAUCAUGUGGAGAGAUUCCAUUCAUGAGGAGAUCCCCUGGAAACAGUAUGCGCUUUCUCCACAACUCCGAGUGCUGCGCAUGGCCUACCAAGAACCCGGGCUGGUGGCAACGAUCAACCCCUCGCUUCUUCCCAACCUCUCCCAUUUACAACUAAAUGUAUACAGUCCAGACCUGGAGGUCUUUGGAAGUUUCCGAGAGCUUGUUGCCCUUGAGCUGGACACAUGGUCAGCUCUCCACCAUGACACCAUGGGCGGUGCAGGUGCCUUCCCCAAGCUGAGGGUCUUCAAGACACAAGCAACGGUUGGCUCGUUUCGAGAGGGAGAUAUGCCGGUCCUUGAAUCACUCUGGUUCAGGCUCAUAGCACACUCCAGUGAUGAUGGCAUUAGCUUUGACUUUGACUUUGGUAGCCUAGGGAACCUCCCUUUGCUUAAGAGAGUCAGCGUCUUGUUAUAUGCCCCUCCUGGGGAGCACAAGAAGGCUAAGGAAACGGUGCAGCGUGCAAUUGAUAUGCUGCCCAACCGUGUCUAUAUAGGCUGGCAGCGGUGUUAA